AUUGAACGCUGGCGGCAGGCCUAACACAUGCAAGUCGAACGAGUGGCGGACGGGUGAGUAAUGUCUGGGAAACUGCCCGAUGGAGGGGGAUAACUACUGGAAACGGUAGCUAAUACCGCAUACCAUCGGAUGUGCCCAGAUGGGAUUAGCUAGGCGGUGGGGUAACGGCUCACCUAGGCGACGAUCCCUUGCUGGUCUGAGAGGAUGAUCAGCCACACUGGAACGGAGACACGGCCCAGACUCCUACGGGAGGCAGCAGUGGGGAAUAUUGCACAAUGGGCGCAAGCCUGAUGCAGCCAUGCCGCGUGUAUGAAGAAGGCCCUCGGGUUGUAAAGUACUUUCAGCGAGGAGGCGUUACCCGCAGAAGAAGCACCGGCUAACUCCGUGCCAGCAGCCGCGGUAAUAC
rnacentral:rRNA from 1 species